AUUGAACGCUGGCGGCAGGCCUAACACAUGCAAGUCGAGCGAGCGGCGGACGGGUGAGUAAUGUAUGGGGACUGCCCGAUAGAGGGGGAUAACUACUGGAAACGGUCGCUAAUACCGCACACUCUCGGAUAACCCUCAGGGGAUUAGCUAGUAGUGGAGGUAAUGGCGCACCUAGGCGCCGAACCCUAGCUGGUCUGAGAGGAUGAUCAGCCACACUGGAACUGAGACACGGCCCAGACUCCUACGGAGGCAGCAGUGGGGAAUAUUGCACAAUGGGCGCAAGCCUGAUGCAGCCAUGCCGCGUGUAUGAAGAAGGCCCUAGGGUUGUAAAGUACUUUCAGUCGGGAGGCGUUACCGGCAGAAGAAGCACAGGCUAACUCCGUGCCAGCAGCCGCGGUAAUUC
rnacentral:rRNA from 1 species